UGGCGGCGUGCCUAAUACAUGCAAGUCGAGCGAACGGACGAGAAGCUUGCUUCUCUGAUGUUAGCGGCGGACGGGUGAGUAACACGUGGAUAACCUACCUAUAAGACUGGGAUAACUUCGGGAAACCGGAGCUAAUACCGGAUAAUAUUUUGAACCGCAUGGUUCAAAAGUGAAAGACGGUCUUGCUGUCACUUAUAGAUGGAUCCGCGCUGCAUUAGCUAGUUGGUAAGGUAACGGCUUACCAAGGCAACGAUGCAUAGCCGACCUGAGAGGGUGAUCGGCCACACUGGAACUGAGACACGGUCCAGACUCCUACGGGAGGCAGCAGUAGGGAAUCUUCCGCAAUGGGCGAAAGCCUGACGGAGCAACGCCGCGUGAGUGAUGAAGGUCUUCGGAUCGUAAAACUCUGUUAUUAGGGAAGAACAUAUGUGUAAGUAACUGUGCACAUCUUGACGGUACCUAAUCAGAAAGCCACGGCUAACUACGUGCCAGCAGCCGCGGUAAUACGUAGGUGGCAAGCGUUAUCCGGAAUUAUUGGGCGUAAAGCGCGCGUAGGCGGUUUUUUAAGUCUGAUGUGAAAGCCCACGGCUCAACCGUGGAGGGUCAUUGGAAACUGGAAUACUUGAGUGCAGAAGAGGAAAGUGGAAUUCCAUGUGUAGCGGUGAAAUGCGCAGAGAUAUGGAGGA
rnacentral:rRNA from 1 species